AACCGGGAUUAGAUAAACUGGGAUUAGAUACCCCACUAUUCUUGGGUGUAAAUAGAUUAAGUUGCUUUACUAGAGUACUAUGAAUUGUAAGUUUAAAACUCAAAGAACUUGGCGGUGUUUUAGACCACUUAGGGGAACCUGUCUCGUAAUCGACAAUCCACGUUGUACCUGACCUUUUUUGUUUCAGUUUGUAUACCGUUGUCGUCAGGUAACUUUUUAGAAAAUAGAAGUUGGCUGGAAAAUGUGUAGUGAUUUAAUACGUCAAAUCAAGGUGCAGCUAAUAAAAAGGGGAGGAUGGGUUACAAUUAUAUAUUUAUAAUUACGGAGGGUUAUAUGUAAAUGUAAUAUAUGAAGGCGGACUUAAGAGUAAAUUACGUUAUAAGAAUAAUUUGAAUAAGGCUCUGAAACGUGU
rnacentral:rRNA from 1 species